AUGAACGCUGGCGGCGUGCCUAAUACAUGCAAGUCGAGCGGAAACACUUCGGGUGUCGAGCGGCGGACGGCUGAGUAGCGCGUAGGAACGUACCCCAAAGUGAGGGAUAACUGCUCGAAAGAGUAGCUAAUACCGCAUGUGGUCUUCGGAUUAAAGCUUCGGCGCUUUGGGAACGGCCUGCGUAUGAUUAGCUUGUUGGUGAGGUAAAAGCUCACCAAGGCGAUGAUCAUUAGCUGGUCUGAGAGGAUGAUCAGCCAGACUGGGACUGAGACACGGCCCAGACUCCUACGGGAGGCAGCAGUAGGGAAUCUUCCACAAUGGGCGAAAGCCUGAUGGAGCAACGCCGCGUGCAGGAUGAAUGCCUUAGGGUUGUAAACUGCUUUUUUAUGGGAAGAUUAUGACGGUACCAUAAGAAUAAGGAUCGGCUAAUUCCGU
rnacentral:rRNA from 1 species